rnacentral:rRNA from 1 species
UACGUAGGCAGCAAGCGUUGUUCGGAAUUACUGGGCGUAAAGAGUGUGUAGGCGGUGCUCCAAGUCUGUUGUGAAAUCUCCCGGCUUAACUGGGAGGGUGCGGCGGAAACUGGAAUGCUAGAGGAUGGGAGAGGUAAGCGGAAUUCCUGGUGUAGCGGUGAAAUGCGUAGAUAUCAGGAGGAACACCUGUGGUGUAGACAGCUUACUGGACCAUUUCUGACGCUGAGACACGAAAGCGUGGGUAGCAAACAGG